ACUUGUUGAAAACAGAUUUCUGGGACAACAUCAGACCCAGUGAAUUGGAAUUUCUAAAGAUAGGAUCUUGAGAAGCUACAUUUUUAUUCCAGCUGAUUCUUAUCAUCAAGCAAGUUUGGGCAAUAGCCUGACAAGGAAGCUAAUGAGUAAAGUGUAGGACUACCCUGAAGAGAGAAGUUAGGGACUUAAUAAAUCAGAGUGGCCUGAUAACACAUUACCCACAUGGAGACUCAGGACCUGACCAGUGUUCUGGACAGUCCUAGCCGACUGGAUGAGGAACACCGUCUUAUAGCUCGCUAUGCUGCCCGGCUGGCUGCAGAAGCAGGAAACGUGACUCGUCCUCCCACUGACUUGAGCUUUAACUUUGAUGCCAACAAACAACAAAGACAGCUUAUUGCAGAACUGGAAAACAAAAACAGAGAGAUCCUGCAGGAGAUUCAGCGUCUCCGCCUGGAACAUGAGCAGGCCUCCCAGCCCACCCCUGAGAAGGCACAGCAGAACCCCACACUGCUGGCAGAGCUGCGGCUGCUGAGGCAAAGGAAGGAUGAACUGGAGCAGAGGAUGUCGGCCCUGCAGGAGAGCAGGCGGGAGCUGAUGGUCCAACUAGAAGAGCUGAUGAAGUUGCUGAAGGCUCAGGCCACAGGGUCACCACAUACAUCGCCCACCCAUGGAGGCGGCCGGCCGAUGCCCAUGCCAGUGCGCUCUACGUCUGCCGGCUCCACCCCCACCCA
rnacentral:sRNA from 1 species